AACGAACGCUGGCGGCGUGCCUAACACAUGCAAGUCGAACGGAGAUAAGAAGCUUGCUUCUUAUUUUAGUGGCGCACGGGUGAGUAACGCGUAGAUAAUCUGCCUGACGAUCUGGGAUAACACUUCGAAAGAGGUGCUAAUACCGGAUAAGCCCACGGAGUCUUUGGAUUCUGCGGGAAAAGGGGGGGACCUUCGGGCCUUCUGUCGUCAGAUGAGUCUGCGUACCAUUAGCUAGUUGGUAGGGUAAUGGCCUACCAAGGCGACGAUGGUUAGCUGGUCUGGGAGGAUGAUCAGCCACACUGGAACUGAGACACGGUCCAGACUCCUACGGGAGGCAGCAGUGGGGAAUUUUGCGCAAUGGGCGAAAGCCUGACGCAGCAACGCCGCGUGAGUGAUGAAGGCUUUCGGGUCGUAAAGCUCUGUCGAGGGGAAAGAAGUGUACUUUGGCUAAUAUCCAUUGUACUUGACGGUACCCCUAAAGGAAGCACCGGCUAACUCCGUGCCAGCAGCCGCGGUAAAAC
rnacentral:rRNA from 1 species